rnacentral:rRNA from 1 species
AUGGCGGCCGCGCCUCCCCAGCCCACCGCCCCCGCCCCCGCCUCCGCAAGCAGCGGUGACGCAUUCCGCCUGGGCUUCAUCGGCGCGGGAACCUGGCCGAGAGCAUCGCGCGGGGCGUCACGGCGUCGGGCGUCCUCCCGGCCUCCGCCGUCCGCAUCGCGCCCCACCGCCGCCCCGAGCGCGGUUGUCGAUGACAACGAUGUGAUCGUCAUCUCCGUCAAGCCCCAGAUUGUGAAGCAGGUUCUGGUUGAGCUCAAGCCCUUGUUGUCUGAAGAAAAGCUUCUGAUCUCCAUUGCCGCUGGCAUCAAAAUGAAAGAUUUGCAGGUCAGUCAGUGUGCAUUCACGUUCUAUUCCCUUUAA